UGUUUCACACAAAGAAAAGGAUAGGGGCACAUGCCAUUCGUGACAAUAGGCUGAAACCGCGAAAAGUUGAAGAUGGCAAGCAAAAGGAGGAGCAAGCAUACUUUGGAAUCAAGUUCGCCGCCGCUAGUAUUGUUCGACCGGAAUAUCAUGAUCGUGUUCUGCCAUGGAUCACAAAAACCAGCAUAAAAUGCACCAAAAUAUCUGAAUUGGCGUCGCUUUUAUUCGUCAACAAAGUGAGAGCUGCCACUGAACAGGCCAUCAUCACCGACAAUUGGGAAUAUUUCGACGAUGGCGAUGGAAUGCACAUCAUCGAAAAUUGCUUCUAUGCUGUGUUGUGGCGCUACAAGGAAGACGAUUCCAUUAUGGAUCCAUGGUUCCGGCAUUGCUUUGAGAAUGUGGACACAGAGAAUCGCUCCGCAUGGCCAAACAAUGAUUACUUCGGUAACUUGAUGAAAUAUUUGUUCCAACAAUAUGGCCGUAGUGUGAAGACGAAUUUGGAUAAACAUGCACAGAAACGAUUGCGGUAUUUCUUGAGAUUAAAUGCAUUCAGACUAGAACUACACUAACCGAGCGAAUGGCCUACCGGAUACAUACGAUGAACGAGGUGUGGCAAAUGCAGUGUCAUAGGCAAUGAAACGAUAUGACGCAACAAGAGGUGAUGUGGAUCGCUAGGCCAAACGAGAUCGAUUGCUGUUUUAUGUUCGAGACAUUCGCGGACCGGCUGACGAUGAUAUCGCCAAAUUCACCAAAGACGAAAAUACAUGGUUUGCAUCAUUGCCAAUGUGGUUGAUCAUGCAAUCAGAAAUCGAAACGCACCUCAACUGGGUUGAACAACACCACGAUAACAUCGUACAAGUCAUUGCGUUGCCAAAGAUCAAGAAUUUGGUGGUCAUCCCAAUCUGUCAUCACACGAGAAAGGCAGUGAGAAUAGACGCUGAUGUUUUGUAUCAUAUGAUGUGCGAAACCGGUACCAUUCCGCGUGAUGAAUAUGGUUGACAACAAACAGUGGGCCACGUCACGUCAAAAUCAAAUCAAGCGUAUUAUUUCAAUAUGAUUUUUAACAUGGAGAAAAUCAAUCGAGUGUUGAAAGCAAACAAAAAAUUCGAACAUAUUCUCAGCGAUGGUGUAUCCGCAUCGAUUCUGUACUCAGUGAAGAAAACCGUAGUCGACAAGAUAGUGGAAGAUGGUUUGGUGCGUAAACGGUACUCUGAUGGCUUCUAUGUCUAUGAAUUGGGCAUCGAUUGGGGCAUGAAGACGUGGAAUGCAACCGCUAGGCGACGAAUCAACAAUGACAAAGAGCGAAUUCAUAAUGGCAAAGAGAUGAACUUCACAAUCAGUAGCAAGAAGUAUCAUUUUGGGACCGGAGAAGGAAUGCGUAAGUAAAAGAAAGAGCGAUGGACUCGUGCCUUUAGGCAGUUCGAAGAGAGUGAUCGAAACAACCGAGCGCGAUAUGACCGAAUGCCAUCACCAAAAGGAAGCAAUUGGUGUGACUACAUACGGCAUCGAUUGACCAUCAUGAAGAAAGCCAUUGCAGUGUACACAACCAAAAAGUACACACGUUUAAGUUUUGAUCAUUACAUCGAGUCCAAUUAGAUCAGUGACAAGGUGGCCGCAAUGCUGACAAAUCGCAAACGAUGCAUCAUUAACAUUGGAGCUUCCCAACCACUUGCAAAUUCACCAAUUAAGAUCAAGAAACAUGUUCGAUGCCCGGGCGUGCGGAAAAAGUUUCAAGAAAAUGGAAGGCAAUGUAAUACGAUUUGUGAACGAAGCCAGAUCAUCACGAUUGUGUGCCAGAUGUUUCGAACCGUUUCCAUUAAGUACAUUGAACGAUCGUGUCAAGGUGUGUGUAUGGUGUGAACCUGAUCAAAAUGAUUGGCCUGAUGGAAUGAAGCUACCAGAGAAAAUUGUGGUGGCAAAGAGCAAGCGGAAGUUACGAUCGCAUUGAAGAGAAAUGCGACAAGCAGCAGUGCAGAAUCCAAAUCAACCCCGUGGUUUUGUGUCUAAGGUGAUUUGCUACCGUAAAAACUGGUAACAAAACGCGGCGAACGGUAUGGAUGACAAUGUUGAAGAGCGCAGAGGUGUAAUCAUUCACGACGAUGAACUCGAUAUCAUCGAGUACACAGAUGAAUUUGUGCCCGAAGACUCUGUUGACGACUCUCCAGUACUGAAGACAGUUUGGC